rnacentral:misc_RNA from 1 species
UCCAGUUAUUCACUGGCAGUCUCCCUAGGGUUCCCGGCAUUACCCGUUGGCAACUAAGGAUAGUGGUUGCGCUCGUUGCGGGACUUAACCCAACACUUCACAGCACGAGCUGACGACAGCCAUGCAGCACCUGUGAUAAGCUCCGAUUGGAUACGGUCGCCAGGGCUUUCACCCCGACUACUCCUAUCAUGUCAAGCCUAGGUAAGGUUCCUCGCGUAGCCUCGAAUUAAACCACAUGCUCCACCGCUUGUGCGGGUCCCCGUCAAUUCCUUUGAGUUUCAUGCUUGCGCACGUACUCCCCAGGUGGCGGAUUUAAUGUGUUAACUUCGGCACUGAGAGGAUCGACACUCCCAACACCUAAUCCGCAUCGUUUACAGCUAGGACUAC